rnacentral:rRNA from 1 species
UACAGAGGUCCCGAGCGUUGUUCGGAUUCACUGGGCGUAAAGGGUGCGCAGGUGGGUUGGCAAGUUCGAUGUGAAAGCCCCGGGCUUAACCCGGGAAUGGCAUUGGAAACUGCUGAUCUGGAGGAUCGGAGGGGGGACCGGAAUUCUUGGUGUAGCAGUGAAAUGCGUAGAUAUCUGGAGGAACACCGGUGGCGAAGGCGGCAUCCUGGACCGGCAUUGACGCUGAGGCGCGAAAGCCAGGGGAGCAAACGGG